rnacentral:rRNA from 1 species
AACGAACGCUGGCGGCAGGCUUAACACAUGCAAGUCGAACGCCCCGCAAGGGGAGUGGCAGACGGGUGAGUAACGCGUGGGAAUCUACCCAUCCCUACGGAACAACUCCGGGAAACUGGAGCUAAUACCGUAAACGCCCUACGGGGGAGAGAUUUAUCGGGGAUGGAUGAGCCCGCGUUGGAUUGGCUAGUUGGUGGGGUAAAGGCCUACCAAGGCGACGAUCCAUAGCUGGUCUGAGAGGAUGAUCAGCCACAUUAGGACUGAGACGCAGCCCAAACUCCUACUGGAGUCAGCAGUGGGGAAUAUUGGACAGUGGGCACAAGCCUGAUCCAGCCAUGCCGCGUGAGUGAUGAAGGCCUUAUGGUUGUAAAGCUCUUUCGCCGAUGAAGAUAAUGACGGUAGUCGGAGAAGAAGCCCCGGCUAACUUCGUGCCAGCCGCUGCGGUAA